rnacentral:rRNA from 1 species
CACGUGGGUGGCGAGCGUUAUUCGGAUUCACUGGGCGUAAAGGGUCCGCAGGGGGCCUGCCACGCCUGCGGUGAAAUCCUGGGGCUCAACCCCAGGACUGCCGCGGGUACGGGCGGGCUGGAGUGUGUGAUGGGCAGACGGAAUACCAGGUGUAGCGGUGGAAUGCGUGGAUAUCUGGUAGAACACCGAUGGCGAAGGCGGUCUGCUGGCACAUCACUGACCCUCAUGGACGAGAGUGUGGGUAGCGAAC